GAAGGAUCAUUACCGAGUGAGGGCCCUCUGGGUCCAACCUCCCACCCGUGUUUAUUUUACCUUGUUGCUUCGGCGGGCCCGCCUUAACUGGCCGCCGGGGGGCUUACGCCCCCGGGCCCGCGCCCGCCGAAGACACCCUCGAACUCUGUCUGAAGAUUGUAGUCUGAGUGAAAAUAUAAAUUAUUUAAAACUUUCAACAACGGAUCUCUUGGUUCCGGCAUCGAUGAAGAACGCAGCGAAAUGCGAUACGUAAUGUGAAUUGCAAAUUCAGUGAAUCAUCGAGUCUUUGAACGCACAUUGCGCCCCCUGGUAUUCCGGGGGGCAUGCCUGUCCGAGCGUCAUUGCUGCCCUCAAGCACGGCUUGUGUGUUGGGCCCCGUCCUCCGAUCCCGGGGGACGGGCCCGAAAGGCAGCGGCGGCACCGCGUCCGGUCCUCGAGCGUAUGGGGCUUUGUCACCCGCUCUGUAGGCCCGGCCGGCGCUUGCCGAUCAACCCGAAUUUUUAUCCAGGUUGACCUCGGAUCAGGUAGGGAUACCCGCUGAACUUA
rnacentral:rRNA from 1 species